rnacentral:rRNA from 1 species
AACGCGAAGAACCUUACCAGCCCUUGACAUGUCCCGUACGGGGCCGAGAGAUCGGCCUCAUCAGUUCGGCUGGCGGGAACACAGGUGCUGCAUGGCUGUCGUCAGCUCGUGUCGUGAGAUGUUGGGUUAAGUCCCGCAACGAGCGCAACCCUCACCUUCAGUUGCCAUCGGGUUAAGCCGGGCACUCUGAAGGAACUGCCGGUGACAAGCCGGAGGAAGGCGGGGAUGACGUCAAGUCCUCAUGGCCUUUAUGGGCUGGGCUACACACGUGCUACAAUGGCGGUGACAGAGGGAGGCUAAGGGGCGACCCUGCGCCAAUCUCGAAAAGCCGUCUCAGUUCGGAUUGUUCUCUGCAACUCGAGAGCAUGAAGCUGGAAUCGCUAGUAAUCGCGGAUCAGCACGCCGCGGUGAAUACGUUCCCGGGCCUUGUA